AAUCCACAUGACUCUCGGCAACGGAUAUCUCGGCUCUCGCAUCGAUGAAGAACGUAGCGAAAUGCGAUACCUGGUGUGAAUUGCAGAAUCCCGCGAACCAUCGAGUCUUUGAACGCAAGUUGCGCCCGAGGCCAUUCGGCCGAGGGCACGCCUGCCUGGGCGUCACGC
rnacentral:rRNA from 1 species